AGGUUGAAGGGUGAGGAAAUUAAGUUCGGCGCCCCCGAGCACUCAGCACUAAUCGAUCGGCCGACGAGCGCGAGCCGGCCGGUUCCUCCUUCUCCUCCUCCUCUAGAGAACGGGCACGACAACCAGAGAAGAGAGGAACGAAGCGCUCCCUCCCCUCCCCUCCCCGCUACCACCCCAGCGGCUGCUUCGCCGACCGCGCCGCCCACUACUCCUCCGGCGACCUCUUCCGGCCCUACCACCCCGAGCGACAUCACCGGUGCCGGUGGCGGCGCGACGACGACGAGCAGACACGGCGGAGCGAGGCGACGAGGCGGCGGCAGCUGAUGCGCGAGCGCCGCGGGUCCUCCGAGACCUCGCCGCCCCAGAGGUAGCGCCGGCUCCGCAGCGGCAGCGGCAGCCGCCACUCCCCCUCGCCGCGGCAAUUCUUCCGCCGCCGCCGCCGCCGCCGCCGCUACCACCAUCCCCUCCUCACGCUGGACAAGCUGCCCUCAACCCACACCCUGCUGUGGAUGGGCGAGAUGCUCAGGUUCCUGACGGGGAAGAAUCUGCAGCCCAAGGCCACGAGCCUUUUGCCGGCCGGCCUGCGAAGGAUACAGUUUACCGCCACCGUCGGCAGCGCGACGCUAGAUGGGUCUAAACUACGGUUUAAAUACGAGCUCUUCGAUGCCUUAUCUUCCCACCAUAAACAACCACUAAGUUAACCUUCCUUGGUUACCCUCAGAGACGAAACAUACGAGAGAUCACGACAAGGAUUGUUCUUCAGGUAGAUACUUUAAUUACCCUCAGGGUAGUGUUUCGUGUACCCAAAGAACUAAAAGUUCAAAUCACUGAUGUUAACGUGACACCUCAUAAUGUCUAGAGGAAAAUAUCAGGAAGUUCCGGCACGUGGUCGACCUCGGGGAUUCCAACAAUUCAUGUGUCAAUCCCACCUACGGUACCUAACCUACAGCCCGGCGCCAUUCACCUCGUCACGACUAUAAAACUAGAAAUUGUGACCCGUAACCACCUUGAUGCUCUUUUGAUAGUCUCCCCCACGGAUAAAGGUUCUUCCUUCACUCCAGUUCUACCUCUACUGACAAUGACUACGCAUGGUUUUUAGUUAUGCUUGUGAUAAGUUAACCGAAGUGUUUCUUCAAUUGUGUUCGUUCUGGGUGCAGUAGAAGGCAUGAAUACGAGGACACGUGAAGUCUCCACCACUGACCUCCUCACCUCCCUCAACGGUGAACCUUUGAGAAGGACUACGCUGUGGUCAAUUUAGUGACCUCCUUACCCGACUGUACGAAGUUGGACACGUAUUAAAAGAACCCUCAUCGUAGUCUGGGUUCGACGGACCCAAUCGAUAUAACUUGCACUGUGUCUACUGUCGCGUCGCUUUUCUACCAGUGGAGAGUCAUAUGGAGUCGGGAAGUCCUGGACAUGGAGACGUGUCCGUCCUAACGUCGGUAACCACGAACGGACCUCAAGGACUAUGGACCUUACUCGAAGACAUGCGGCAGAAGUACUUUUCCGUUUUCUACUACCUGGUUUUACAAAGAGAACGUCCGAGUUGUUGUGACUUGUGUCCGACUGAUUUUAGGACCCCAUCCGAUGAACUACGAGCGGGCCACUUUCGAACCAUAGAUCCCAAGCACUCAGAGGACGCUGCUACUACGACAACUACAUGAAGGGUGAAUACAUCGGAUUACCACUCGUAAAAACAGUCUUCUACCCUCGACCGAACGUCCUUCGACGUGGUGAGACGAGACGACAUGACUCUCCAAUCACUCAUAUUCUCGUUUUAACUUCUUUCAGUACGUAUAUCGACUUACACUAUCAGACACAAAGUGUCUCCGCCG
rnacentral:rRNA from 1 species